GCCUUCGUCCGCACAGGUGGCACACGCCCGCGCGCAGGCUUCGAGUGCCAGUGCGGUGACGCCUCGUAAUGAAGGGGUCAGCGGUUCGAUUCCGCUCGUCGGCU
rnacentral:tRNA from 1 species